AAAUUAAUUGUCCUCUCCACCCACUCUUUUGAAGCUAUUGCUGGUUAUCCUUUCAAUAUCCCAUACUCACACACAUUGAUUCAACAUCCUUCUAUCAAUUGAUAAAAGAGUGAAACAAUAAAAAUGGAGAUUGGUAAAUAUAGCUAAUUCUAAUAAAUGUUUUGAAAAUGAAAAUUAAUAUUCUAUGAAAAGAAACUUUCCUGGCA
rnacentral:misc_RNA from 1 species